CUAGCCGUAAACGAUGGAUACUAGGCGUUGAGAGGAUCGACCCUCGCAGUGCCGUAGCUAACGCGUUAAGUAUCCCGCCUGGGGAGUACGCGCGCAAGCGUGAAACUCAAAGGAAUUGACGGGGGCCCGCACAAGCGGUGGAGUAUGUGGUUUAAUUCGAUGCAACGCGAAGAACCUUACCAGGGCUUGACAUGUCCGGAACCCUGCCCAAAGGUGGGGGUGCCUACGGGAGCCGGAGCACAGGUGGUGC
rnacentral:rRNA from 1 species